CAAGGCAUGUGUGAAAGCCUUUGACCCAAAGACAACUUGCUUACAGGAAUGCCUUAUCACCACCUUCCAGGAAGCCUACUUUGUUUCAGAAAGUUUUGAAGAAGCCAAAGAAAAGAUGAGAAUUCUUUAUCUAACAGGUAAUAACACAAAUGCUUCUGUCAAAGGCUGGCUUUCCAGGCCUAUUGGAGACAGACUACUUGGAUAAGAAACAGUGAAGAGACUUUAUCAUCUGUUUCUCCCAUGUCUAACUGCUAUGGAACGAAUUGGGUGCCUCCAAAAUUCCCAACUGAAGCCCUAACUUGCAGUGUGACUGUAUUUGGAAACAGGACCUGCAGGAAGUAAUUAAGGCUAAGUGAGGUCAUAAGGGUAGAGCCCUAAUCCGAUAAGUCUGGUGCCUUAUGAGAAGAGGAAGAGACACCAGAGCUGUCUUUCUACCAUGUGAGGACACAGUGAGGCUUGUUGGUGUUGAUUACAUGGAAGAGAAACUGAGGCACAAGUGUUAUGUGGUCAAGAUCAUACAGCUAAUAGGUGGCAGUCUGACUCCAAGUCUGUGCUUUUCACUGCUGUGCUAUGCCACUAAAGGGAUCCUUGUACUACCAGACAGGGGCUGAGAGCCUCAAGGUUUAUAAAUAAGCCCUGUGGUUCUGGCCAUUUUACUUGUCCUUUAGAGAGAACCACUAACGCCCUUCCAACCUCAUAAUGAUUGCAGUGAGGAAUAUCAACAAGGAAAUCUGCCUUCAACAGAAGAGAGCUUUGAGGAAAGAGAAAUUAAGAAAGGGAGUAAAUGUGGUCUUUUUCCUGAUCCAGGAGAGAAUUAAUAAAGAGUCUGGCACCUUUCAAAGUCUGACAAGAAACAUUCUAUUCUCUCUGAAGAAUACAUACAUACAGUCUAUUCUCUCUGAAGCCUUCAUCUGCAUAACAACAACCUUGGUCCCCACAACCCCUAUUUUAACUCAGACACUCCCUUGUAGUGACUCUAGGUCUAUAGAUAAACUCUUCCAAUCAAUUACAAAUCAGAUAAUCUUUGAAUCCAUCUAAGACUUGGAAUCCGCCCCCACCCCCGCUUCCAGUUGUUUCACUUUUCUUGAGAGAACUAAUGUAUAUCUUAUAUG
rnacentral:sRNA from 1 species